GUAAACGGCGGCCGUAACUAUAACGGUCCUAAGGUAGCGAAAUUCCUUGUCGGGUAAGUUCCGACCUGCACGAAUGGCGUAAUGAUGGCCAGGCUGUCUCCACCCGAGACUCAGUGAAAUUGAACUCGCUGUGAAGAUGCAGUGUACCCGCGGCAAGACGGAAAGACCCCGUGAACCUUUACUAUAGCUUGACACUGAACAUUGAGCCUUGAUGUGUAGGAUAGGUGGGAGGCUUUGAAGUGUGGACGCCAGUCUGCAUGGAGCCAACCUUGAAAUACCACCCUUUAACGUUUGAUGUUCUAACCUAGGCCCAUAAACUGGGUCGGGGACCGUGUCUGGUGGGUAGUUUGACUGGGGCGGUCUCCUCCUAAAGAGUAACGGAGGAGCACGAAGGUUGGCUAAGCAUGGUCGGACAUCAUGCGGUUAGUGCAAAGGCAUAAGCCAGCUUGACUGCGAGAGUGACGGCUCGAGCAGGUACGAAAGUAGGUCUUAGUGAUCCGGUGGUUCUGAAUGGAAGGGCCAUCGCUCAACGGAUAAAAGGUACUCCGGGGAUAACAGGCUGAUACCGCCCAAGAGUUCAUAUCGACGGCGGUGUUUGGCACCUCGAUGUCGGCUCAUCACAUCCUGGGGCUGAAGUAGGUCCCAAGGGUAUGGCUGUUCGCCAUUUAAAGUGGUACGCGAGCUGGGUUUAGAACGUCGUGAGACAGUUCGGUCCCUAUCUGCCGUGGGCGUUGGAAGAUUGAGAGGGGUUGCUCCUAGUACGAGAGGACCGGAGUGAACGCACCACUGGUGUUCGGGUUGUCAUGCCAAUGGCAUUGCCCGGUAGCUAAGUGCGGAAGAGAUAACCGCUGAAAGCAUCUAAGCGGGAAACUUGCCUCGAGAUGAGUCUUCCCUGUC
rnacentral:rRNA from 1 species